GUAAUUGAAACAGGAUCCCUAAGGAAUGAGAGUCAGCAAUUACUCAACAAGCGCAAAUUCCAGCUGAAAGUAUUUGAGAUAAGCUAUAUUUUUCUUGGCAGCUCUCAAUAAACACGCUUAACAGACUCAGCCUGACGAACGCAUUACUGACUACUUGUAUUCUUUUGAAUAAGACCAACGUUAUCAUUUUGAAGAAAAUUGAAACAAGCAUAUAUUGUUGUUCGCUGCAGCAGAUACUUCCCCAGCACAUCGAGUUCCAUGACUGCAGAGAAAGAUGACAGAGAUUCCCGCUAAAACAUCAUGUGAGCAUCAACAUCCAGAAAACCUUAGAACACCCACUGACGAUGGACCUACUUGAGGACUGCAGAAAUCUGGAAUUGGUUUCCUGAUGCGGAAAAAGAAAGUUCACUCUUGCUUACCAAGUACCACUGUUUUGCAAAUAAAGGAUCGUUCAUGUUGAUGUCUA